rnacentral:rRNA from 1 species
ACGCUCGACACCUACGGGAGGCAGCAGUCGGGAAUAUUGCGCAAUGGAGGAAACUCUGACGCAGUGACGCCGCGUAUAGGAAGAAGGUCUUCGGAUUGUAAACUAUUGUCGUUAGGGAAGAAAAAGGACAGUACCUAAGGAGGAAGCUCCGGCUAACUACGUACCAGCAGCCGCGGUAAUCUGAGCGGGCUGGCAAGGC